AUGGGCGCCGCCGCGGCCGAUCUCGAGGCGCGUCAGCUCCGCAUCCUCCGUCGCGUCGAAGACCUUGAGCUCGCUGCCCAGCAGCACCGUAUUGGGGCGCUCUCUCUCUCCGACGCCGAAGCGGAGGUCGAGGCGGGGGACACCGAGGAGCGGCUCUCGGCCCUCCUGGCCGCGCGCGGCGUGCACGACUUCGCCUUCCGGCGUGUUCCAGCGGACUACUACGACCGCUCUCUCGAGGAGCGUCGCGACCUCCUCGCAGUCGAUUCAGUCGCCCAGCUUUGCAAGAGCAUAGUGAUGGUGAAUACCAAAGCUGCUGCAGAUGUAGUUGACUGCAGUAACCCAAAGAAUUCUAAAUAUUAUGUUGUUAUUGUUCAGUAUAUGGCACGGCUUAAUGCUGAAAACAUCAAGAACUUCCUGUAUACCCUAAAUGAGAGUCAGAUACCCAAAAAGAGAUUUAACAUGAGGCUCGCACCAGAAGAGGAGUCACUCAUGCUUACUGGGUUUGUGCACAAUGGUGUGACAUGCAUUGGAAUGAAAACAGCCAUACCGAGGGUUUGUCGGCAGGUUAUCAUAGAUGAAGCCAUCACCAAGUUGGAUGAGGAUUUCUUCUGGCUAGGUGGUGGAGAAGUUGACCUCAAGCUCGGGAUGCGGACCUCAGAGUUCCUAAAUGCUUUCAAUCCAUUUGUGGUGAAGUGUAGUUAA
rnacentral:rRNA from 1 species